GAUGAAGAACGCAGCGAAAUGCGAUACGUAAUGUGAAUUGCAGAAUUCAGUGAAUCAUCGAGUCUUUGAACGCACAUUGCGCCCCCUGGUAUUCCGGGGGGCAUGCCUGUCCGAGCGUCAUUGCUGCCCUCAAGCACGGCUUGUGUGUUGGGCCUCCGUCCUCCCGGGGGACGGGCCCGAAAGGCAGCGGCGGCACCGCGUCCGGUCCUCGAGCGUAUGGGGCUUCGUCACCCGCUCUUGUAGGCCCGGCCGGCGCUUGCCGACACAUCAAUCUUUUUUCCAGGUUGACCUCGGAUCAGGUAGGGAUACCCGCUGAACUUAAGCAUAUCAAUAAGCGGAGGA
rnacentral:misc_RNA from 1 species